UACGUAGGGUGCGAGCGUUGUCCGGAAUUAUUGGGCGUAAAGGGCGCGUAGGCGGUGCGGUAAGUCACCUGUGAAAUCUCCUGGCUCAACUGGGAGCUUGCAGGCGAAACUGCCGUGCUGGAGUGUGGGAGAGGUGCGUGGAAUUCCUGGUGUAGCGGUGAAAUGCGUAGAUAUCAGGAGGAACACCUGUGGCGAAAGCGGCGCACUGGACCACAACUGACGCUGAGGCGCGAAAGCUAGGGGGAGCAAACAGG
rnacentral:rRNA from 1 species